rnacentral:rRNA from 1 species
UACGUAGGGUGCGAGCGUUAAUCGGAAUUACUGGGCGUAAAGCGUGCGCAGGCGGUUAUUUAAGUCAGGUGUGAAAGCCCUGGGCUUAACCUAGGAAUUGCGCUUGAGACUGGAUAGCUUGGAGUGCGGCAGAGGGAGGUGGAAUUCCACAUGUAGCAGUGAAAUGCGUAGAGAUGUGGAGGAACACCGAUGGCGAAGGCAGC